CAGUGUCCUCUUCUUAACAUAAGUUAUUGUCCUCCAUCAGAAGCUGUCCUGUCUGAUGGGAAAAGUUUGGUCGUUGUCAUCUACAAUUCCCUGGGGUGGAAGAGAGAAGAAGUAAUACGAAUUCCUGUUUCCACUGACAGAAUUAGUGUUCAGGAUUCUAGUGGGAAGAAAGUUGAAGUCCAGCUUCUUCCUGUAUUGAAUGCCACUUUUAGUGUUAGAAAUUAUUAUGUGAGAGCAUAUUUGGGUGAAUCUCUGAGAGAAACAAUUAAAUAUUGGCUUGCAUUUACAGUGUCAGUACCGCCAAUUGGUUUCAGCACUUACAUAAUUUCUACCACUAAACAAACAGGCUCUAGUGUAGCCAUUUCUUCUGUGUACAGGUCAGAAGAAAGUAUAGACAACACUAUAGAAGUUGGACCAGGAAGUUUGAAGCUAAUUUAUUCAGCUCGUGAUGGAAAGCUUUCACACUAUGCUAACAACAGA